rnacentral:rRNA from 1 species
GUGGAUUAGAUACCCUGGUAGUCCACGCCCUAAACGAUGUCAAUUAGCUGUUGGGGGUUUGAAUCCUUGGUAGCGUAGCUAACGCGUGAAAUUGACCGCCUGGGGAGUACGGCCGCAAGGUUAAAACUCAAAGGAAUUGACGGGGACCCGCACAAGCGGUGGAUGAUGUGGAUUAAUUCGAUGCAACGCGAAAAACCUUACCUGCUCUUGACAUGUACCGAACCUCUGAGAGAUUGGAGGGUGCCCGAAAGGGAGCGGUAACACAGGUGCUGCACGGUUGUCGACAACU